UAGGGAAUCUUCCGCAAUGGACGCAAGUCUGACGGAGCAACGCCGCGUGAGUGAAGAAGGAUUUCGGUUCGUAAAACUCUGUUGUUAGAGAAGAACAGCGCAUAGAGUAACUGUUAUGCGUGUGACGGUAUCUAACCAGAAAGCCACGGCUAACUACGUGCCAGCAGCCGCGGUAAUACGUAGGUGGCAAGCGUUGUCCGGAUUUAUUGGGCGUAAAGCGAGCGCAGGCGGUCAAUUAAGUCUGAUGUGAAAGCCCCCGGCUCAACCGGGGAGGGUCAUUGGAAACUGGUUGACUUGAGUGCAGAAGAGGAGAGUGGAAUUCCAUGUGUAGCGGUGAAAUGCGUAGAUAUAUGGAGGAACACCAGUGGCGAAGGCGACUUGCUGGUCUGUAACUGACGCUGAUGUGCGAAAGCGUGGGGAUCAAACAGG
rnacentral:rRNA from 1 species